AUUGGUAUGACCGGUCUCGCUGAUCCCUCCCUCUUGACGAACUGUGAUGCCAUUAAUUUGGUGUCGCAGGGAAUCAGGACUGUUACUUUGAAAAAAUUAGAGUGUUUAAAGCAGGCUUUCGCUUGAAUACAUUAGCAUGGAAUAAUGAAAUAGGACGUUUGAUCCUAUUUUGUUGGUUUCUAGGAUUGACGUAAUGAUUAAUAGGGAUAGUUGGGGGCAUUAGUAUUCAAUUGUCAGAGGUGAAAUUCUUGGAUUUAUUGAAGACUAACUACUGCGAAAGCAUUUGCCAAGGAUGUUUUCAUUAAUCAAGAACGAAAGUUAGGGGAUCGAAGACGAUCAGAUACCGUCGUAGUCUUAACCAUAAACUAUGCCGACUAGGGAUCGGAUGAUGUUAAUUUUUUAAUGACUCAUUCGGCGCCUUACG
rnacentral:rRNA from 1 species